GUAGGUGGCAAGCGUUGUCCGGAAUUAUUGGGCGUAAAGCGCGCGCAGGCGGUUCUUUAAGUCUGAUGUGAAAGCCCACGGCUCAACCGUGGAGGGUCAUUGGAAACUGGAGAACUUGAGUACAGAAGAGGAAAGCGGAAUUCCACGUGUAGCGGUGAAAUGCGUAGAGAUGUGGAGGAACACCAGUGGCGAAGGCGGCUUUCUGGUCUGUAACUGACGCUGAGGCGCGAAAGCGUGGGGAGCAAACAGGGAUUAGAUACCCUGGUAGUCCACGCCGUAAACGAUGAGUGCUAAGUGUUAGGGGGUUUCCGCCCCCUUAGUGCUGCAGCUAACGCAUUAAGCACUUCGCCUGGGGAGUACGGCCGCAAGGCUG
rnacentral:rRNA from 1 species